UGCCCCUUAGCCUAACAGGGUAGGGCAACCGGCUUUGACCCGGAGUGUGUUCGUUCAAAUCGGACAGGGGCAG
rnacentral:tRNA from 1 species